rnacentral:rRNA from 1 species
AGUGAAGCGGGAAAAGCUCAAAUUUAAAAUCUGGCAGUGGUUCACUGCCCGAGUUGUAAUCUAGAGAAGUGUUGCUCACACUGGACCAUGUAUAAGUCUUCUGGAAUGAAGCGUCAUAGAGGGUGAGAAUCCCGUCUUUGACAUGGACUCCCAGUGUAUUUGUAGCAUGCUCUCAAAGAGUCGAGUUGUUUGGGAAUGCAGCUCUAAAUGGGUGGUAACCUCCAUCUAAAGCUAAAUAUUGGCGAGAGACCGAUAGUGAACAAGUACCGUGAGGGAAAGAUGAAAAGAACUUUGGAAAGAGAGUUAAAAAGUACGUGAAAUUGUUGAAAGGGAAACGCUUGAAGUCAGUCACAUUGGCCAGGGAUCAACUUGCUUAAGUGUACUUCCUGGCUGAUGGGCCAACAUCAGCUUUGACUGUCAGAGAAGGGUAGGGGGAAUGUGGCACCCUUCUUGGGUGUGUUAUAGCCCUCUGUCAUAUAUGGCCGUUGGGGCUGAGGAAUGCAGCGCGCCACAAGGCCGGGCUUCGACCACGUUCGCGCUUAGGAUGUUGGCAUAAUGGCUUUAAUCGACCCGUCUUGAAACACGGACCAAGGAGUCUAACAUGCCUGCGAGUGUUUGGGUGGAAAACCCGAGUGCAUAAUGAAAGUGAAAGUUGAGAUCCCUGUCAUGGGGUGCAUCGACGCCCGGACCUGAGCUUUCUAGCAAUGGCUCUGCGGUAUAGCAUGUAUGUUGGGACCCGAAAGAUGGUGAACUAUGCCUGAAUAGGGCGAAGCCAGAGGAAACUCUGGUGGAGGCUCGUAGCGAUUCUGACGUGCAAAUCGAUCGUCGAAUUUG